UAUAUAUAUAUAUAUAUAUAUAUACAUAUAUGUGUGUGUGUGUAUGAAGGCGGCGAGAUGGCGGACGCUUUAGCACGCCGGGCGAAGUGCUUAGCGGUAUUUCGUUUGUCUUUACGUUCUGAGUUCAAAUUCCGCCGAGGUCGACUUUGCCUUUCAUCCUUUCGGGGUCGAUAAAUUAAGUACCAGUUACG